rnacentral:rRNA from 1 species
UUUUCGCAAUGCCCGAAAGGGUGACGAAGCGACGCCGCGUGAGCGAAGAAGGCCCUAGGGUUGUAAAGCUCUGUCAGGGGUUAUGAAAUGUAGACUGGUUAAUACCCAGUUUAUUUGACAAAGGCCCCAAAGGAAGCCACGGCUAACUCUGUGCCAGCAGCCGCGGUAAUACAGAGGUGGCAAGCGUUGUUCGGUAUUAUUGGGCGUAAAGAGCACGUAGGUGGUUUUGUAAGUCAGAUGUGAAAGCCUUCUGUUUAAAGGAGGAACAGCAUCUGAAACUGCAAAUCUUGAGUGUAGGAGGGGAGAGUGGAACUUCUGGUGGAGCGGUGAAAUGCGUAGAUAUCAGAAGGAACGUCGGCGGCGAAAGCGACUCUCUGGCCUAUUACUGACACUGAGUGUGCGAAAGUUAGGGGAGCAAACGGGAUUAGAUACCCCGGUAGUCCUAACCGUAAACGAUGGGCACUAAGUAGAGGGGUUUUAA